rnacentral:rRNA from 1 species
AGCGAACGCUGGCGGCAGGCUUAACACAUGCAAGUCGAGCGGGCAUCCUUGUGGUGUCAGCGGCAGACGGGUGAGUAACGCGUGGGAACGUGCCCUUCGGUUCGGAAUAACUCAGGGAAACUUGAGCUAAUACCGGAUACGUGCGAGAGCAGAAAGGUUUAUCUGCCGAAGGAUCGGCCCGCGUCUGAUUAGCUAGUUGGUGAGGUUAUGGCUCACCAAGGCGACGAUCAGUAGCUGGUCUGAGAGGAUGAUCAGCCACACUGGGACUGAGACACGGCCCAGACUCCCCGGGGGGGCGGCAUUGGGGAAUAUUGGGCCAGGGGGGCAACCCGGAUCCCCCCUUGCCGGGUGGGUGGUGGCGGCCUUGGGGUUGUAAAGCCUUUUUCCCCGGGACGAUAAUGCCGGUACCGGGGAAAAAAGCCCCGGCAACCUUCGU